CUCCUUUUUAUUAUAUUAUUUACAAUAGGGGAUCUCGAAUUACCCCGUUUUAACUGGAUUACCUCUUUCAAGAUCUUAUUUCCAAAUAAGACCUAUUUUGAGAACAACACACCCUUUCCCUCUGCUCUGCAGAAAAAGACAAUUCAAUCCAUAAUUCUGAGAUAACAAAUAAACCGAGCCCAGAACACAGCAAGAAGCACAGUUAGAAAAACAACGGCAACGACGACAGACUGAGGAGGUACAUCAAGGGAGCCAGUCCUGGAGUUGGAGGCAGGGUUGGGGAUGCUGUGGCAGCAAACAAAAGAUGUCACCAUGCUGUGACAGAAGAGUCCUUUGACUACAGGUGUCACCUCAUCCAUUCAAUUACAGCCACACCUGACCCCUGGAGACACUCAUGGCCUCCAAGGUGGUUGACAGGAAAUACAUAGUUGAUUAUGUCUCUUCCUGUUAUUUUGCCGGGAAGCAGGAGUUUCUGAGGCCACAUGCAGUCAGCUGGAUUGCAUAAAGCCGGGCACAGCACAGGCGGGUCUGGCUUGACCUACUUCCUGAAAUCUGCUGUUGGUUCUUCCAUUGGACCUUUGUAGCCUCACAUACAGGCCAUCCUGACGGGAGGCCCCGACUCAGGGUUAAAGGGACGAGCAGAGGGGUGAUGCCAGGGAGGGCUGCCCCAGAACAGGUUCCUAACCUGGUCAAGCCCUUCCUGCUGGCAUGGAGAGAUUGGGUCUACAGGCGUGCACAUGCUCGACGGGCGUGCAGCUCUGGGUUCAAUCUCCAGAACCGUAAAACGAAAUGAAAGAUCCAUAGUGCAGUAUCGCAAACAAAAUGCGUACACUGGUAGUCAACACUCAGAAUAGCGCCCCCACCAGAACCCUCACACUGCACUUUCACAGCCACACCCAUCUCCGUCCUGCUCCCAUCGCUGCCUUACCUCUUGUAACCACUACUUUGGUUGACGGUUUUAGGAGAGAUGUGUUACUGUUUGGCGUGGUGUGGGUGCGCAGGCACGUGCACGUGAUACACCUGAGUGCCCGGAGAGGACCACGUGUUUCUCCGGAGCAGGUGGUUAGAUUUACCACCCCGCCCCCGCCCCCAUCUGAUUGCCUUGAGACAUAGUCUCUUGCUGAACCAGAAGCUCACUGACUGGCCAGCAAGCUCUCCAGACCUGCCACUCUGGCCCCAGUGCUGAGGUUAAGGCUCCUGUAGGCGCGCCUGGCUUUUUACAUGGAAGCAGGGUAUUUAAACUCGAGUCUUUGUGGUUGCAGAGGGGACAUUCUUACCCACUGACCCAUCUUCCCAACCCCAUGAAUCUGCUUUUUGUUCGUUUUAUUUCAAGAAUGUCGUGUGUGUGUGUGUGUGUGUGUGUGUGUGUGUGUGUGUAUUACACAGAACAAGAUGCUGUUAAGUGGAAUAAUAUAGGAAGUACCCUUCUCGUGUUUUGUCCCUUAGAAGAACAGUUUGUUUAGCCCUUUACCUGUGGAAGGGUACCUGGGUUCUCAGCCUGGAAAGCCGUUAUUUCUCCAGCAUCCAACCCUGUCUGUUAUAUGUGGUUAUUACCGCUAGCUAUGAUUUAUAUAAAAACACUUGAGCAGGUCGUGGUGGUGUGUACACACUGGAUUGCCCAACUCGAUUAACUUCUUUGUUCUUAGUUUACUAGAAUCCUUUUACUCUUAAGUUUCAAAAGCAUCAUCAAGAAUACUCCUCACUAGGAGAAUCUGGGGCCGAUGAGAUGGCUCACUGGAUUUAAGGCACUUGCUGCAAAGUGAGGAGACCAGAGUUCAGUCCUCGAGACCCACCUGGUAGAAGAGAACUGAUUCCCAAUGAUUCAGUGGGCCGUGGUGCUUACCACUAAGCCUGAUUCCCUGACCCCAUCCCUGGGACCCACGUGAUGGAAGGAGAGAACCAAC
ensembl:lncRNA